GUUAAUAUUCAGCAGUGGUUAUGGCGUGUGACUCAAGUUUAGGCUUACCUCUUCAAGAGGUUGUAUUCUCAUGGGCUUUGCCCGCGUGGGUUCGAAUCCCACUGUUGUCA